rnacentral:rRNA from 1 species
UAACGCGAAGAACCUUACCAAGGCUUGACAUACAGGGAAAUCCGGCAGAGAUGUCGGGUCCGCAAGGGCCCUGUACAGGUGGUGCAUGGUUGUCGUCAGCUCGUGUCGUGAGAUGUUGGGUUAAGUCCCGCAACGAGCGCAACCCUCGUCCUAUGUUGCCAGCGAGUAAUGUCGGGGACUCACAGGAGACUGCCGGGGUCAACUCGGAGGAAGGUGGGGACGACGUCAAGUCAUCAUGCCCCUUAUGUCCAGGGCUUCACACAUGCUACAAUGGCCGGUACAAAGGGCUGCGAUGCCGUGAGGUGGAGCGAAUCCUUUCAAAGCCGGUCUCAGUUCGGAUCGGGGUCUGCAACUCGACCCCGUGAAGUCGGAGUCGCUAGUAAUCGCAGAUCAGCAACGCUGCGGUGAAUACGUUCCCGGGUCUUGUACACACCGA